GUGCUCGACUGGCAGCAUGACACUAAAAUUGGAAUGAUACAGAGAAGAUUAGCAAGGCCCCUGCGCAAGGACGACGCAAAAAUUUGUGAAGCAUUCCAUAUUUUU
ensembl:snRNA U6 U6 spliceosomal RNA